AAAUCUCAUAAAUUAAACAUUUUUGUUUUUAAAUUUAUGGACUUGGAUUUGCGAUUCUAUAAUUGCUAAUCUAAAAUGAAUUUCAUGAAGCUUAUUAUUGCUUUGAUCCUUUGCUUAAUAGUUUUGCUUUGUCAAAUCUUUUGCAAUUGUUUCAAAUGCGCAAAAAAGUGAAUUGAUUUUUACGAAAUCAUAUAAUCUCAUU
rnacentral:misc_RNA from 1 species